UCUGGAGCGCGACAACCUCGGGAAACUGAGGCUAAUCGUGCAUACCGCUCUCACGCUGGAAGUUGCGGAGAGCUCGAAACGCUCCGGCGCCAGAGGAUGUGGCUGCGGCCGAUUAGGUAGACGGUGGGGUAACGGCCCACCGUGCCAGUAAUCGGUACGGGUUGUGAGAGCAAGAGCCCGGAGACGGUAUCUGAGACAAGAUACCGGGCCCUACGGGGCGCAGCAGGCGCGAAACCUUUACACUGCACGCCAGUGCGAUAAGGGGACUCCAAGUGCGAGGGCAUAGAGCCCUCGCUUUUCUGUACCGUAAGGUGGUACAAGAAUAAGUGCUGGGCAAGACCGGUGCCAGCCGCCGCGGUAAUACCGGCAGCACGAGUGAUGGCCGCUCUUAUUGGGCCUAAAGCGUCCGUAGCUGGCCGCGCAAGUCCAUCGGGAAAUCCGCACGCCUAACGUGCGGGCGUCCGGUGGAAACUGCGUGGCUUGGGACCGGAAGAUCCAGAGGGUACGUCCGGGGUAGGAGUGAAAUCCUGUAAUCCUGGACGGACCACCGGUGGCGAAAGCGCUCUGGAAAGACGGAUCCGACGGUGAGGGACGAAAGCUCGGGUCACGAACCGGAUUAGAUACCCGGGUAGUCCGAGCUGUAAACGAUGUCUGCUAGGUGUGCCACAGGCUACGAGCCUGUGGUGUGCCGUAGGGAGGCCGUGAAGCAGACCGCCUGGGAAGUACGUCCGCAAGGAUGAAACUUAAAGGAAUUGGCGGGGGAGCAC
rnacentral:rRNA from 1 species